ACAGACAUAGAGGGAGAGAUGCAAGACAAUAACAGGAAGAACAGUUCUCGUGCUUCACUGAAGUGGUGAGUCACAGGAAGAUGAUGAAGUGAUGGCAUGGAUGGCCUGUUGCUCUGAAUUUGCAAAACCCUCUAUGCCAUGAGCUAGAAGGGUACCUGCCUGGGGAGGAAGGUAAGGAAAUGACACUUGACAUGAGGUAUCAUCAGCAUGCCAGUCAUGAGGCAGGGAAUCAGCAGCAGGGUGCUUUCAAGAAACUUGCCUCUCUUUGCAACCUUUAGCAGCCUCAUCUAUGCACUGUUACAGAGAUUGGAGCAGUGUGAGCAAAAUGCUGCUGAAGGGAAUACCUGGGCUGAGGAGUUAUCUGAGUUUCAUUUCUCCAAAAAAAGAACUGACUGAUCUGGGAUGGGGAAUGGACAUUUUCGUUGGAGAACAGAGUCACGGCAUGGAAGUUCCAGAUUGUCUCCUAAAUACCUGUGGGUAUUUAUGCAGCCUGUUAAAUGCAAAAGAACAUAGUACAAGAUGUGUUUGCUUUCAUCAGCCGUUGCAAAAGGAGCUGCACAGAGUGACUACAGUUAGCUGCAAUUCAAACAGAGAAGCUGUUCUGAGGUUGGAGGUGAGGGGCACGAGCAAGUUUACAGAGGGACCUCCCAGCUUGGUCAUUCUUGAUGGCAUCUCACAAGCUCUGAGACAAGCUUUACUGAUUAUCUUGCUGGUAUCAGCAUGCACUGACUGUAUACUGUGACUGUGGAAGACAGAGAUUUCACCCUCAGUCAGGUAACAGGGUUCCCACUUUCUGCUAUGAACUGGCUCCGACUGUGCUUCUAUACUUCCAGUCCUCUGCUAAAGGAAGCGCCAAAGAGUUAAUUGGUUUCUCAUUAGUAGGUCACUAAGAGUCUCUGGAAAGCAAGAACUAACUCCCACCUACCUGUUUCAUGUGCCUGAAUGAGGCCUUGUAUCUUAUUAGAUAUAAGUUUGUAUCGAUCCAUGUCAGUUCAUGCAUUUUACUUGCUAGACUCAGUGAGCAAACCUCUAAUGGUACAACACGGCUGAUUUUGUGAGAGUGUAUUUAAUAUCAUUGCUAUACUCAGAAGUAGAAAUAGUUAUUGCUGUUAAUCAUUAGUCAUAAUCUUGAAAAGAACUGCCUAGGGGAUCUGAGCAGCGGAACUUCAAAUGUGUGGACAGCAUUGUGUCAAGGAAGAGCACGUGCAAUUCGAAAUGUUAGCUUUGGCUUCAUAGUUGGCGAUGCAGCUGAGUACAUUUUACGCUGGACAAUGGUCCUUUCUGGGAGAGGGAAAAGGAGUUACUUCAUCAUUCAGGGGCUUUAUUCAGCAGCACACAAUCCACAGUGAGUCAUUGCUGAAAUGUAUGGCAGGGCAGGAAGUCACAGCUGUUGGGAGUGAUUGGCUGCUGUGCAGUUACGAAAUAUUCCCCCCAUCAGGAAACAGCCACCCCUAAGAUGAGCAAGAGAUGAUUUUUAACAUCUACUUUGCCUAGGUUUGCAUGGCUGAAUCAAGCACAGCAAUUCUAGCGCCUGUGGCUGCACAGAGAGCUUAAAAAAAUAAAUAAAUAACAUGAACAAUGUCUGACCA
ensembl:lncRNA